rnacentral:rRNA from 1 species
GAUCCUGGCUCAGGAUGAACGCUGGCGGCGUGCCUAAUACAUGCAAGUCGAACGCGAGCACUUGUGCUCGAGUGGCGAACGGGUGAGUAAUACAUAAGUAACCUGCCCUAGACAGGGGGAUAACUAUUGGAAACGAUAGCUAAGACCGCAUAGGUACGGACACUGCAUGGUGACCGUAUUAAAAGUGCCUCAAAGCACUGGUAGAGGAUGGACUUAUGGCGCAUUAGUCUGGUUGGG